GUUGAACUUGUCUUUUUUGGUUUUCUUAUUUGUAAUUGACCUAAAACUCAUAAAUAAAGCUUAGAAAAAAUAAUAAUAAUCAGUAGUUACAGAAUUUCACAAUAAUGGGAAAAAAAAAGAAAAAACAAACAGUGUAGUUGGUACGUAUUGUCAAAGAACUAACGAUUGGAUUUUUGUCUUGGCCUUUUUCAAGCACAAAUCUACUACAGUUCGCUAGAUUUAUGGCUAAAAUAACAACAAAAAAGCAAUAAGUUAAAGACAUUCAAAAUAUACUGUCUUAAGGUUGAUAUGUCAGUAUUUAAAUUUUAAUUAGACAAAAACAAUUAAAUAUUGACUCUUAAAAAUAUCCAGUAUCGGCCACUACUUCGAGUUAAAAUAAAAAAAAAAAAAACUAUGAUAUUGUCCUGUAAAACGAUAUAGUGCUGAUAUGCCAUGCAUUUCUGACAUCCCCUGUCAUAUUUUCUGACACAAAAACACAUUAGUGACCAAAAAUCAAAAAUAGUCAUUUACUCACCUUCCAAACCUGUGAGUUUCUUCCUUAUAUUGUACACAAAAGAAGAUAUUUUGAAGAAAGUUGGUAACCAAACAGUUGCUGCAACCCCUUGACUUCCAUAGUACAGAAAAAAUAUAUAUAUUGAAGUCAGUGGCUACCAGCACCUGUUUGGUUACCAACAUUCUUCAAAGUAUUCUCUUUUGUGUUCAACUCAUACAGGUUUGGAACAAUGUGAGGGUGAAUAAAUGAUGACCGAAUUUUCAUGUUUGAGUGAACUAUCCCUUUAAGCUUUCACUCCACAUUUUUGGGAGAAGUAAAUGACAAAAGUGAUAUUGACAUAAAACAUAUAUUAUUAAUUCAAAUGUAAUGUUCAGUUGAAAAGGCUAGGCGGAAAUGCUGUGUUCAUUAUGUCAUGCACUGUUGUUUUUCUGUUCAGUCUUAGCUUUUUUUUUUUUUUUUUGUCAGUACGCUCCAGUUGAAAGCAAGAUGGUGAAUGUAACCAUGACUCCACCAGCUAUUGUGCUUCCAAGACAAGUCAGCAAGCAAGAGCCAUGUCCACUUGAGAAAGCAAGACCACACAGCCCUAGGCCUCGUCUCUCCCGAAACUCUGCAUCUUCAUGUCCCAUGACGACAGUGGGUAUGUUCAGCUACACACUCCAAUGUGAAAAGGUGCAAUGACGCAGAAAUAGCGUAAUGACGUAUGACGCACAGAACGAGCUGCUCUUCCUUUUGAAUAAAGUGUUGUAUAAAUGCAUGUCCCUGUCAUUAUAAAACUCUACUUUCACUCGGCAACUGGAAGUGGAGCAGGACAACCUUGUUUUGGAUACUCAUCCACAAGUCUUUGUUUUUUUUUUUUUUUUUGUCGUCAUAAAUAGAACAGCACAGCACAGUGGUUUAUAUGUAUAUUUAUCCAUAAAUGGUAAUAUUAAUUCUGCUAGUUAAAAACGUGUUUGUUUUUUUUUUUUUUGUCGUCAUAAAUGAACAGCACAGCACAGUGGUUUAUAUGUAUAUUUAUCCAUAAAUGGGUAAAUAUUAAUUCUGCUGUUAAAAACAAAUAAAGAAACCAUGUAGGAGAGUGGUUAUUAUGUGCAAACAGUGAGAAACUCUAUAUUAUCUAUAUGUCACUUUCACUUUUCAAUUUCACUAUUUGAGCAGUGUGCGAAUGUCAAAAAAAAAUCUAUUCCGGUUUGAAGCUUGUGACAUAUAAACGCACACAUCAGCCUGAUCACUUUAUUUAGCAUUCAUGUAAACACUACAAUCACAUUCAUCAAUCGGAAUGAAUUCAGUCCGAUUGAACCAAAAAUUGUGCAUGUAAACGUAGCCAGUGGCAUCCCAGCAGUCAGUAGUAAAUCUUAUUGCUAUUCUUGAUCAGUUUAAACAAAACGCACAUUUUUAACACAACCUCUGAUUUGUUUUCUUUAUUUCUAUGGCUGAUUUAUUUAUUUAUAAACUUUAUUUUAUGUAUUUAUUACAUAUGGUUUAACUGCUGCGCUAUUUAUACUUUUGUAUAUCAUAUUCCCCUUGAUCUAUGUGCAUGUCUUAUUCAUUUUAUUCUUUAACUGCACUAUCAGUUACAUAACUUCCUGUUU
rnacentral:lncRNA from 1 species